AAGCGGAGGAAAAGAAACUAACAAGGAUUCCCUCAGUAACGGCGAGUGAACAGGGAAAAGCCCAACACCGAAGCCUGUGGCUGUUUGGCCACUAGGCAAUGUGGUGUUCAGGUCGUUCCGCAGAAGCGCUGCUCCACCCUAAGUCCAACAAUGAGUACGGUAGUACGGACAUGGCCCAAGGAGGGUGAAAGGCCCGUGGGGGUGGAGAUCAGGCAGGCCAGUGCUUCUCUGGGUAGACCUUGGAGUCGGGUUGUUUGUGAAUGCAGCCCAAAGUGGGUGGUAAACUCCAUCCAAGGCUAAAUACCAGCACGAGUCCGAUAGCGAACAAGUACCGUGAGGGAAAGUUGAAAAGUACUUUGAAGAGAGAGUAAACAGUGCGUGAAACCGCUCAGAGGUAAACGGGUGGAGUUGAACUGCAAGCUCUGUGAAUUCAGCUGGUGAGUGUGAGUUGGGCUUGGUCAAAUUGGUUGUGCUCCGGGGUCUGCGUAGCAGCAGGUUUCUGCCUUCGGGUGGGGAUGUGCGAUACACUUAUCAAGUGUUGUGCGCCUCGGAAGAUUAUCGGGCCAACUCGCCAGUGCACUUUCUCAGAGUGGUCACCACGACCGGCGCUGCUGUCUGGCUGUUGUGGUUAAACCGGUCUCGCAUUGGCCUUGUGUCUUUGCUUGGUCGGGAUGGCAGGUAGCCCGUUGGCUUGUCUGUGGUUCGCUGCAGGCGUUCGGCUUUCGGGUGUAAUCAGCUGACCAUGGUGGUUCUGUAUGGCGUGUCGGAGACGGCGGCUUGUGGUGCAUGCGUGUGUGGUUCUGGAUCGGCGGGUUCGGGUUUGGUUGCUAUGUGCUUGUUCAAGCAGGCCUGGCGAUGGCUCGGAUUCGUUCGGUUCGGGGUUGCGUGCGUUGUGCUGAUACCAGGGCCAAUAGUCUGUGGUGUAGUGGUAGACGAUCCACCUGACCCGUCUUGAAACACGGACCAAGGAGAGUAACAUGUGCGCGAGUCAUUGGGCGUAACGAAACCCACAGGCGCAGUGAAAGUAAAGGUUUGGCUUGUCCAGACUGAGGUGAGAUCCUGUCGUUUCUCACGCGCGGUACUACCAAGCACCGAGCGGCGGGCGCAUCACCGGCCCGUCCCAUGACGUAGUCACAUAGUCUUCGGACCAGUGCACCGUCGGGGCGGAGCAUGAGCGUACAUGUUGAGACCCGAAAGAUGGUGAACUAUGCUUGCGCAGGUUGAAGCCAGAGGAAACUCUGGUGGAGGACCGCAGCGAUUCUGACGUGCAAAUCGAUCGUCAAACGUGAGUAUAGGGGCGAAAGACUAAUCGAACCAUCUAGUAGCUGGUUCCCUCCGAAGUUUCCCUCAGGAUAGC
rnacentral:rRNA from 2 species